CGCGUAGGUGGUUUGUUAAGUCGGAUGUGAAAGCCCCGGGCUCAACCUGGGAAUUGCAUUCGAUACUGGCAGACUAGAGUAUGGUAGAGGGAAGUGGAAUUCCGGGUGUAGCGGUGAAAUGCGUAGAUAUCCGGAGGAACAUCAGUGGCGAAGGCGACUUCCUGGACCAAUACUGACACUGAGGUGCGAAAGCGUGGGUAGCAAACA
rnacentral:rRNA from 1 species